rnacentral:rRNA from 1 species
AUACGGAGGGUGCAAGCGUUGUUCGGAAUCACUGGGCGUAAAGGGCGCGCAGGCGGUUUUACAAGUCAGAUGUGAAAGCCCACGGCUCAACCGUGGAAGUGCAUUUGAAACUGUAAGACUUGAGUAUCAGAGGGGAAGGUGGAAUUCCCGGUGUAGAGGUGAAAUUCGUAGAUAUCGGGAGGAAUACCGGUGGCGAAGGCGACUUUCUGGCUGGAUACUGACGCUGAGGCGCGAAAGCGUGGGGAGCAAACAGGAUUAGAAACCCUAGUAGUCC